CAAAUACAUAAGCCACAACACAAAUACAUAAGCGACAACGGAAGUAGCUAGCUAUGUGACAACGGAAGUAGCUAAGUGACAACGGAAGUGAACGUGUUGUUGAUAAACGGAGCCGGAGGAUGAGCAGAAGGAGAAGUUCUUGUAUGUUUGAGAAGUUAUGUUUUGUCCAUUUUGUGGAGUGAACCUUCAACAUGUUCUGUCAUAUUGUGGGAAAUGUGGCAGAAACGUUCAGUUUUUAUGGAGUCUUCAAGAUGAAGGUCCUGAAGCUACAAUGGCAGAUGAACUUAUUCAGAAGUAUUUCACAGAAGGCCAUAGUUAUGAAGUAAUAAUGGACUUACUGGCAACCAAGCACAACAUUUCAUUGAGUCUUAGCACUUUAAAAAGAAGACUACAGGAUGCACGCCUGACCCGGAGGACAAACUACACUCCGUUUGCAACUGUGCAGGCAGCUAUAUCUGAGGAACUUAAGGGAUCAGGCCAGCUCUUAUGAUACCGAGCAAUGUGUCAGACUCUGAGACAGAAGUACUCUCUUAUAGUCAGAAGAGAUGAUGUGAUGCGCCUAAUGGGAGAACUGGAUCCGUCCGGAAAAGAAAAUCGCUCUAGACGCAGAUUCGUCCGGAGAGCAUACCACUCAAUGGGACCCAAUGACGUCUGGCAUGUUGAUGGCUAUGAUAAAAUGAAACCUUUUGGGAUUGCAAUUAGUGGCUGUAUCGAUGGAUUUUCUAGAAAAAUCAUGUGGCUGAAAUGUGGAAAGUCUAACAAUGACCCUGGCAUAAUUGCUCAAAAUUACAUGCAGUGUGUAGCUGAGUUUGGAAUUAUUCCAAUGCGUCUCCGCACAGACUGCGGCACAGAAAAUGGACUGAUGGCAUCACUUCACUGUUCCCUGAGAUCAGAGCAUGCAGAUGAGUUUGCAG